rnacentral:rRNA from 1 species
UACGAAGGGGGGCUAGCGUUGCUCGGAAUCACUGGGCGUAAAGCGCACGUAGGCGGAUCUUUAAGUCAGGGGUGAAAUCCUGGAGCUCAACUCCAGAACUGCCUUCGAUACUGGGAGCUCGAGUCCGGGAGAGGUGAGUGGAACUGCGAGUGUAGAGGUGAAAUUCGUAGAUAUUCGCAAGAACACCAGUGGCGAAGGCGGCUCACUGGCCCGGUACUGACGCUGAGGUGCGAAAGCGUGGGGAGCAAACAGG